GUGCUGAUGAAGAGUCCCAAACUAGGACGAAAUAGCUGUCCAGUAC
rnacentral:hammerhead_ribozyme from 1 species